rnacentral:lncRNA from 1 species
AUACCAGGAAUGGUCUAAGAAAGAUCAUUUUGUGCGCUAUAUUAUAUUGUGUUGCAUGCAUAAUGAUUCCAUUGGAGAGUUUGAGAGUUAUUCUACGGCUAAGGACAUGUGGGAUAAGCAUAAGGUCACUUAUGACCAAUAUUCGUUACAAGGCUCUGUGCAUUGGAUUUAAAGUGGAUGAAAUAUGAAAUAGAUCUAAAGCACAAUAUAGCUAAACACUUAUAUAUUGUGAGUGUUAUGGUUCGUGACCUUAAGGUUAAAGGACGUGAUAUAAGAGAUCGGGAGCAAGUUCUGAAUGUGAUUCGUUCACUUCCAGAUGAACCUAAAUGUUAGAAAAAUUUUAAACUCCUGAUAGUUCAGAGUGAACACAUUAAUACUUUCUCUGAAAUUG